AGCUCACCUCCUACACAUCCUGUGCCCGUCAGCUAUCUCUGAGUUUGGCGGUGUGGCAUAGAAGCCAGCGCUACAGGAUGGCACACACCUCCACUCCUCCAUCAGUACCGGCUGUGUUGUGUGGGAACCUCCUCCUCACAAACGCGUUGUGAUGGAACCUCCUUCCAUUGCUCAGCCUCCUUGACCAUCCUCUCAGCAUCCAGCAGGCCAAAGCCGUACAGAGAAGUGGAAUUAGAAGCGGAGCAUAAAUCCAGCAGGAAUACCGUUGUAUCCAGCGCCGUUUAAGUGCCAAUCAGGUGCAAUAAGAUGAUGAGAUUGUGCUGUUCGUGCAAUAAUGUGCUGCAUGUCCCUCCAGGUUAGUGAGGGGCUGGAAAAGCACCAGAUAGAGAGAGAGAGAGAG